AUCCAAUAUCAAAAGGUUUUGAGACAAAAGUAACCAUGUACACAUAUCAAAGGAUUUCAAAUCCGUUGAUAACACUUCGAUGGAUCUCCCUCUUCUCCCCUCUUCCUUUACUACUGAGAGCUUCUCACUCUCCAAACCUGAGAUAUGCGGUGUCCCACAUGGGGAUCCAAUUCAACCUUUUCUCCAGAUAUACCCAAUCCUCACUCUCUCCCAUUUUGUUACCACUGCAUUCACUUUACAGUAAUAUUUCUAGGCAAGCUUCAAGAUUUACUCCAUAGUAAACCAAGACGCCUGUCCGCAUUUAUGAGGAGGCAAAAACUAGAAACCAAUUAAUAGACAAGUAGUAAGCGAGGAAAAGAAAACAUGUUUCGAAAUUUUUAAUUACUUUCAGUAGUUGACACCAUUUCAAUUUCCGAAGAGCUGCACACAUGUACAAGAAAGGCAACAAGGCCAUAAAUCACAGGGCAUAAUACCAGGACUGUUCAAGUCCUAGGAAACGAGAGAUAGAUUUUAACUUGUAAUGACAAAGAAUGGAAGACACUGAAAGAACUUGGCUAUGGCAACAUCUGGCAC